CACGUAGGGGGCGAGCGUUGUCCGGAUUUAUUGGGCGUAAAGAGCUCGUAGGCGGCUCGGUAAGUCAGGUGUGAAGACUCUAGGCUCAACCUAGAGACGCCACCUGAUACUGCUGUGGCUAGAGUCCGGUAGGGGAGCAUGGAAUUCCUGGUGUAGCGGUGAAAUGCGCAGAUAUCAGGAGGAACACCAGUGGCGAAGGCGGUGCUCUGGGCCGGAACUGACGCUGAGGAGCGAAAGCGUGGGGAGCAAACAGG
rnacentral:rRNA from 1 species